ACAUAAAAGUGGAAGCAAGCUUUAAUGAUCCAUUACGGAUGAUUAUCGGUACUGUAUCUGCUCUUUUCUGGGUAUCGGGGGUCCUGAUGAUUGCAUGGCUAGUUAAGUGCUUUAAUGAACACCAGAUGCCGGUGAGCAGCACAGUGAUGCAGCUGGUAGAGAUGGUGCCUCACUGAAACAUACGUUUUGAGAACCUGAAUUUCAUCUUUGCUUCCAGUCGCUGUCUGGAGCGGAGAGCUUGUGUGGACAGUGCUCGUCUACCCUCUGUUUUGGACGUCCCCUUUCUCAAUGGUUUCUCCCACAAUGAAGGCCCUGGUGGAUGUCGUCUGGGUUGUUUGGAGUAUAGGAGCCUCCAUCUAUGACUACUUCCACACCAGUGCCAUAGAGGAGAGAAUACACACUUUGGAGAGCACAAUUACUGUACAUGAAUGUGUUAUUGGUCUGCUGACCACCAUACUGGUGGCACUGGUUACUUAUGUAUUGCUGAGAAAACACUGAUGGAGGAGGAAAUGUGACAAACUUCAACCAUAUGAUUACAUAAAUGCUAAUGGUAUCCACUGAGCAGAAAUAUAGGCAAAAUAUGUGGACAGCUCUUCUAAUUUUUGCAUUUAAUUGUUUUAGUCACACCCAGCACUAAAAGGGAGCAUUAAAUCAAUUGUAAAAAAAAAAAGUACUUAUAUGCAUCUAUGUGGCAACAGUUUGGGAAAGGCCCUUUCCUCAUCCAGCAUGACUGUAUGAGGUCCAUAAAGACAGUUGGUUUGGUGUGGAGGAACUUCAGUGGCCUUAACAAAACCUUGACCUUAACAUUAUUAAACAUCUUUGGGAUGAAUGGGAACAUAAAUUGCAAGCCAAGCCUUCAUGUCCAACAUCAGCGCCUGACCUCACAUGUGCUAUUUUAACUGAAUGGCCCAGAGGAGUGAAGACGUAUAGUGUAAAUGUGACUGAGGAAACCACCUUGAACCCCAGCAUCUGAGAAUGUUUCUCUCUUUCCCUUACAGUCUCGUAAUCACUCAUCAUUUUCUACAUUUGAAGGCGUGACCUACACUUACAAAACAAGAUUGUUAUCAGGAGAAGGUUUCCGAAACUAUGAGGAUCCUAAAUCCUCCUGUAGAACCUGUUAUGACCAUUAUAAAUUAUACCAGGUAAUAAAUGUGAGAUGUUUUUGUUUAA